rnacentral:ribozyme from 13 species
AUAAGAAGGAAAAGUAGUCCCAUAACUGAUCUUUUUCUCUUCUUCUUCUUUUUCUCUCUCCAUUGUAUUAUGUCCUCGAGGUGGUUCAUUGUCAAAAAAAAUGGAAGAA